rnacentral:rRNA from 1 species
UUCUAUAAGCCUGUUAAGGUGUACUGUGAGGUAUGAUGGAGGUAUCAGAAGUGCAAAUGCUGACAUAAGUAACGAUACAUCGGGUGAAAAGCCCGCUCUCCGGAAGACCAAGGGUUCCUGUUCAUCGUUAAUCGGGGCAGGCUGAGUCGACCCUUAAGGCGAGGCCGAAAGGCGUAGUCGAUGGGAAACAGGUUAAUAUACCUGUACUUGGUGUUUCUGCGAAGGGGGGAUGGAGAAGGUUAUGUUGGCC